CCUACGGGAGGCAGCAGUGAGGAAUAUUGGUCAAUGGACGAGAGUCUGAACCAGCCAAGUAGCGUGAAGGAUGACUGCCCUGUGGGUUGUAAACUUCUUUUAUAUGGGAAUAAAAUGUUCCACGUGUGGGAUUUUGUAUGUACCAUAUGAAUAAGGAUCGGCUAACUCCGUGCCAGCAGCCGCGGUAAUACGGAGGAUCCGAGCGUUAUCCGGAUUUAUUGGGUUUAAAGGGAGCGUAGGUGGAUUGUUAAGUCAGUUGUGAAAUUUUGCGGCUCAACCGUAAAAUUGCAGUUGAAACUGGCAGUCUUGAGUACAGUAGAGGUGGGCGGAAUUCGUGGUGUAGCGGUGAAAUGCUUAGAUAUCACGAAGAACUCCGAUUGCGAAGGCAGCUCACUGGACUGCAACUGACACUGAGGCUCGAAAGUGUGGGUAUCAAACAGGAUUAGAUACCCGGGUAGUC
rnacentral:rRNA from 1 species